CCUGUAUGUGAGUGGUUUACCAUCCAGCAGCAACAUUUGCCUAAUCCAUAUUUGGAGGCCUCCACCUGCAGCGUGAGGUCUUUGCUUGUUUCCUAGAAUGCUAACACAGGUCCUGGCUCCCAGGUAGUGAUGUCUUUCAUCUUUUUGCAAGCUCCUUCAUGUUGUUUGUCCCAUACAAACUCACUGUCAUGCCACAGUAGCUGUCUCAGAGGUACAAUGUCUGAAAGGCUUGGUGCAAACUUUGAAAGAUAAUUGACCAUGCCGAGAUCAUCCUCCUGAGAUUAUGGUCAUGUUCCUCCUAAGUCUUUCUGUAGACCAAGAUAUCAUCCACAAUGGCCCCAACUCCAGGCAGACUUUUGUAAAUCUCAUUUAUUUUCCGCUUGAAAAUAUCCUGGGCUGAGAGAAUGCCAAAGGGUAACCAACAAAAUCGGUAUCUUCUGAAGAUUGUAUUGAAAGUGGUCAGUUUCGAUGUUUCUUCAGAAAGCUUGAUUGCCCAGUAGCCAGAUCUAGCAUCCAUCACGCUGAAGUAACAGGCUCCUGCCAACUUUGGUGUGAUAUUAUCUAAUGUAGGCAGAGGAUAGGUUGGCCGCCUUAUAGCCUUAUUAAGAUCCUGUGGAUCCAGACAUAGUCUCAGUUUACCAGUCUUGGGCUUCUAGACAACACAGAGGGCAUUUACCCAAUCUGUUGGCUCUGUCUUAUUCACAAUGAUAUCUUGCUUCUCCAUGGGGUCCAGCUCCUCUUUCAGCCUGUCUUGCAGGGUGAAAGGAACUCUUCUUGGUGGGUAAAUGACUGGCACGGUUGUCGGGUCAAGCUGGAUGUUGCAUUCUCCAGGAAACAGACCAAUGCCUAUAAACAUGUAACCCGCUGCACCAAGUACUGCAGACACGAUGGGUUCUGAAUAUGGCCAGUGUUCAGAGAUUCUGGUUCGCCUACGGAGAAUAAGGAUCUCAACAACAACAAUGAAUCACUCAGACACGAUUUCAAGGGCUUCAAAUGAAAACUCAGAAAACUCAACUUCAAUCCCUCUUCAGACACAACUUCUCAUCAGUAAAUGAGAAGUUAACCCUUUGUGUACUCUUUAGUACUGUGUACCGUUUAAUAAAAAAAAAAUUACAAAAAUUUAACUUUUGUUCUGACAGAAAAAAAUGUGUAUCAAUGACUCUGUGCUCACCUCUUUGAGUGAAACUCUGAUUCCAGGUAAAUUUUACACUUAACCCUUACUGGAUACACUUUCUGUAUUUCAAGGAAUAAAUUUCCCUUUCUUCUCUCAAUU